CACCAGACUCCUACGGGAGGCAGCAGUGGGGAAUAUUGCACAAUGGGGGAAACCCUGAUGCAGCAACGCCGCGUGAAGGAAGACGGUUUUCGGAUUGUAAACUUCUGUUCUUAGUGAAGAAGAAUGACGGUAGCUAAGGAGCAAGCCACGGCUAACUACGUGCCAGCAGCCGCGGUAAUACGUAGGUGGCAAGCGUUAUCCGGAUUUACUGGGUGUAAAGGGAGCGUAGACGGUGAUGCAAGUCAGAAGUGAAAGCCCGGGGCUCAACUCCGGGACUGCUUUUGAAACUGUGUGACUGGAGUGCAGGAGAGGUAAGCGGAAUUCCUGGUGUAGCGGUGAAAUGCAUAGAUAUCACGCAGAACCCCGAUUGCGAAGGCAGCGUACCGGCGCCCAACUGACGCUCAUGCACGAAAGCGUGGGUAUCGAACAGGAUUAGAUACCCGCGUA
rnacentral:rRNA from 1 species